UUCUGCAGGGUGGAGAAGCAGGGCACGUGCACUGCUUGCACUCCGCUUCCACCAGAGAAGACCGUGCCAGUUCUUCAUGUGCUCGUCUUCUCCACCGUGCACAA
rnacentral:pre_miRNA from 1 species